ACUGCCACUAUUCCACAUCAGACCUGCCAGCAACAGAGACCCACUGUUUUUCGACAAGAGCAGCCAGCAACUUGGCAGCAAAUCUAUUACAUUGGAUCCCUCAUUCUGCUUAUGGUGGCUUUUCCUGCCCACAAAGCCUGGGCCAGCACCACUAUCCAAGGGCUCAAUAUGCUGACCCAGAAUACAGCAAAACAUCCCACUGGACUAAGGCGCCCUCUUUACACUGAAGAAGGCGUGGGAGGAGCAUGCGGCCUAAGGACUCAAUGGUGCUCUCACACGUUUCACCACUGGAAGAUGCUGGCCUAACGGAGCGACAGAGCAGCCUGUUGAAGAUGCAGCUGAGCUGUCAGUUGCAGGUGUUAAACCGCUUGGAUGGGGCACCAUCCUUGAAGAUGUACUACACACCUUGAAUCAAUGACCAUUAGAUGGUGCUUUGUUCCCAGGAGGGGUUUGUCCUGAAGGCCCGUUUCUCGCCCAGGGUACACCUGCUGGUGGAGGCCAAGUAAAUUCCUGACUGGCUGCUUGUCGGAUAGAAGCCAGCCUCCAUCCUCACCCAGACCCUGGGCUACUUUCUCCAGAUAACCCAGAGCCUCCUGAAGCCUCCCUGCCUCCACUCUGUCCCUCCCAUCCAGUCUCCCAUGACGUCCCCAUUGUCCAGUGGCUAAGACUCCGCACUCCCAAUGCAGGGGGCCCAGGUUUGAUCCCUGGUCAGGGAACUAGAUCCCACAUGCUGCAACGAAGCAUUUGCAUGCUGCAGCUGAACAUCCCUCAUGCAGCAACUAAUACCUGGCAUAGCCAAACAAUCAAUAUUACAAAGAAGACCCCAAGUUUUACCCGGCCGAUGCUCAUCUCACACUGCACCCACCCCUGCCCUUGGCCUGAGGGCCUCCUGGAUGCUCUUUCCCUCCACAGGCCUUUGCACAUUCUAUUCCUUGGGUCAGGAAUGCCCUUCCUUCUCCUCCCUGCCUAGCAGUUCCUACUCAUUCUCUCCAUCUCCUCUGGGGCCCUCCUGUGCUCCAUCUGUGCACCACCAACCCCCUCUAUCCCC